GAGGAGCUUGCUCCUCUGGAUUAGUGGCGAACGGGUGAGUAACACGUGAGCAAUGUGCCCUUGACUCUGGAAUAAGCGCUGGAAACGGCGUCUAAUACCGGAUACGACCUUCGGAGGCAUCUCCUGUUGGUGGAAAGAACUUCGGUCAAGGAUCAGCUCACGGCCUAUCAGCUUGUUGGUGAGGUAACGGCUCACCAAGGCGACGACGGGUAGCCGGCCUGAGAGGGUGACCGGCCACACUGGGACUGAGACACGGCCCAGACUCCUACGGGAGGCAGCAGUGGGGAAUAUUGCACAAUGGGCGCAAGCCUGAUGCAGCAACGCCGCGUGAGGGACGACGGCCUUCGGGUUGUAAACCUCUUUUAGCAGGGAAGAAGCGAAAGUGACGGUACCUGCAGAAAAAGCACCGGCUAACUACGUGCCAGCAGCCGCGGUAAUACGUAGGGUGCAAGCGUUGUCCGGAAUUAUUGGGCGUAAAGAGCUCGUAGGCGGUUUGUCGCGUCUGCUGUGAAAUCCCGAGGCUCAACCUCGGGCUUGCAGUGGGUACGGGCAGACUAGAGUGCGGUAGGGGAGAUUGGAAUUCCUGGUGUAGCGGUGGAAUGCGCAGAUAUCAGGAGGAACACCGAUGGCGAAGGCAGAUCUCUGGGCCGUAACUGACGCUGAGGAGCGAAAGCAUGGGGAGCAACAGGCUUAGAUACCCUGGUAGUCCAUGCCGU
rnacentral:rRNA from 1 species